UACGUAGGGUGCGAGCGUUAAUCGGAAUUACUGGGCGUAAAGCGUGCGCAGGCGGUGAUGUAAGACAGGUAUGAAAUCCCCGGGCUUAACCUGGGAACUGCAUUUGUGACUGCAUCGCUGGAGUGCGGCAGAGGGGGAUGGAAUUCCGCGUGUAGCAGUGAAAUGCGUAGAUAUGCGGAGGAACACCGAUGGCGAAGGCAAUCCCCUGGGCCUGCACUGACGCUCAUGCACGAAAGCGUGGGGAGCAAACAGG
rnacentral:rRNA from 1 species